AGAGGUUGGGAUUUUCAGUAGUGCUUGAUUCUGUCUGAACUGUGCUUCCAUGGACAUCAACAGGAAUCUGUUAGCUUCAGUGGGAGCAGAGUAUGUCCAGUGCUGCAUCCAUGAUCCUGGAAGACCCACCCACCAGAAGGAUCAUAAGGUGACAGAUAACAGUGUUUAUUUUCACUGGGCCUAAAAGCCACUUGGCAGGCCAAGAUCAUGCACAGACAAGUACAGAAAAACAAUUCUUCUGAUGAGGUUAUGAAAUCUAAGAACUAC